AGAUGAGGUAAAACACUGCAGCAGAAUGGUAUAAAUUACAUAGAGCUCACAGACGAGGUAAAACACUGCAGCAGAAUGGUAUAAAUUACAUAGAGCUCACAGAUGAGGUAAAACACUGCAGCAGAAUGGUAUAAAUUACAUAGAGCUCACAGACGAGGUAAAACACUGCAGCAGAAUGGUAUAAAUUACAUAGAGCUCACAGACGAGGUAAAACACUGCAGCAGAAUGGUAUAAAUUACAUAGAGCUCACAGACGAGGUAAAACACUGCAGCAGAAUGAUAUAUACAUGUGUAAAAGAGUUCUGUAUUUUCCUGAAGUUGGGGAUUUUUUUAAGGCCCCUGUGGUCCAGUUAAAAUAUUGACAGAAUUAUUGAAAAUACACUGCAUCCAGAAUGUUAUUAGCCUUGUUUUGGGAAAGCGGGGCUAAAUGCAUGUGCGUAAAGUGUCGGCCCAAAUUUGCUUGUGUAGUUUGCACAGACUAAUCAGGGACAACACUUUCUUCUUAAAUGAUACAUGUAUUUUGUUUCAUGGAAGUCUCAGCUAAGGUAAAAUCCAGUUUAUGCGGUAAGUGUUGUCCUUGAUUAGCCUGUGUGGAUGGCACAGGCUUGGAUGGGACAACA